rnacentral:lncRNA from 1 species
AGGAGGGCUUCAGGGAUUCAGCGGAGGAGACUGAAAGCCUGAGAGACGAUGCCUCUGAGAAGGUUACAGACCUUGGGAGAAAGCGCUUUCACCUCCUCACCACAGACACUCUCGACUGUGGACUCAGGACACUAAGCCAGAAAGUACAUCUGAUAUGUGAUUCCCGAGAAAGGGCCAUCAUAUUCCAAGGGAUCGGGACCCACAGCGUGAGAAGCCCUGAACUAGAGAUCCGCCUAAACUGAGAAACAACCUAGCACCUAUCCCAGCCCAUCAAUGUUGUAUAUGGCAACAGAUUCAAAAGCCCAGACUAAAACAUACUCACCAUCCAUGUUACCAGCUCUCACCAUGGGGCAGCAAUGUGGAUUUAGUAAGCAUAGCCCACGGGCACUCAUUUUGAAGACACUAGGAGAACUUCAAAGCCAGACUGUUGUCACCCCGUGUGUCAUGGAGACCCUGUAGUUUUGGAUCUGCAGGACUGGCUUCUUCACGUACUCCAGCAGUUCAUUGAUGGGAUAGACGUGGGGUGGGCUAACUCAAAGCCCUGGAUCUGGGCCUGAGAGGUGUCUGAGCUGCUCAGCCCACCAGCUCUCCAGUUCUUGUGGCCUUUGGAUUGGCUCGCCAGCAACCCCCUCUCCCAGGGCUAGCUCUCCUGGCUGACCAGGUCGGUCCUUAUAUUUGCUUUAGGAACCUGACAAGACUGACUAGCCAUCUCUAGCAUUCAGAUAGGUGGAACUUCAUUGUGCUGAAGUUAUGUUUGAGCACCCUCUGCUGGACAAAUCAGAUGCUCUAUGACUACCAACAAUGUACCAGUGGUAUUCGUCUCUUGCAGAUCUGGAAGAAAAUGAAAUUUAGUGUUUUGUCUGUUACACGCUCUGUAACUCCAGUUGCAGAAAAUGUAAAACUUUUCUGCCCCCUCCCCCUCCGGCAACCGGGCACAGACAUUUACGGGAGGCUGUGGCUACUUUAGGAGAUGUGAGCGAGCAGUCUCCUUCCUGCUGCUGCAGCUGCAAGCUGCUCCUGCCGCCCAUGCCUUCUCUACUGCCAUGCCUUCCCUACCACAAGGGCCAGAACUCUCACACUGAAAGCCAGAAUAAAUCCUUCCUCUCUUCGGUUGGUUGUUGUCAGGAGAAGGCAGCAGCUGGCAUCAAUGGUGUGGUGAGGAGAGAAUCAAGUUUCCUUCUCCAGUUCAAACAGACGAAAGUGAAGCGACAUAGGCUCAAGGACAGGGUCACUGGGCUAGCGCCACACCAUGGAGCCAAACCCCGAGCCUUCUAAAUUGUGAGCUGGGCAUGGUGGUUCACCCCAGGAAUCGCAGCACUGAGGGAUGAAGGCGAGAGAGUCACUGUGGGUGUGACAUCAGUCUGGCCUGAAGUCUGAGACUGUUUUUUUAAAAAGAAAACAUUUUUUUAUGUCAUAUAUUUAAUUAUAUAAAGAUUCUGUUGUUU